AUGGUUAGAGAUCAAGACUCAUCAAGCUUGCACAUAGAAAUGAGACUACAAACUAAACCACAAAACAAAUGUUCAAAAAUAAAAAUAAAAUUGCAAACAAAAUAAAAUGAUAUUAAACUCAUGUAGUGCAAUAUGACGAAGCAAUUAUUAAAAGCACAUGACAGAAUAACAGACGAAAAUAUAAUCCAAAAUGUUGAAUGAAAAUAAGAAAAUAAACAAAAUAAUUGAAAAAAAAAAAGGGGUAUAUCACUGAAAUUGGUGGUGGAAAGAGGAAAUGGGCGCUGAAACCCAAUCCAAGGCCCAUUGGCCUUGGUCCUCACAGAAUGAGGGUGUAGUGGACUCUUGCAUGGUGCAAGCAAGCAAUCACAUGAGCCUUAGCCCAAUCUGCUUACCAAAGGAGAUCCAAUCUCUUCCACCACGUGCCAAAUCAUCUCCAUCAUAGUUCAAACAUUCCAUCCACUUGCCGUGACCGGAGAGUCAGCCUCCGUCGUGCCAGAGCUCAUCAUCGACGGCGGCGAAGCUCCAAACAUGAACCAUCAGAAACCAAAACAAUCGUCUCCACCUCGUGGACCCGAAUCCCUUAUCCAAAUAAAUCAAGUCUAAACCUACUAAUCGAAUUGCAUCCAAUUGUGUAAGAACCCUAAGUUGAUUUUCCAGAAAUUAAAUGUUCAGUGAUGGAGAUUAAAGGUUAACAGGUUAGGGCUUGGAUCUCCUAACCUGACACUACAUCAUGAUAACCAGAUCAAAGUGGGAACAAAGGUUUGAAUAAAAUACCUGUCGGAGACGACGAUGGAGGUGGCGGCAACAGUAAUGAGAUUCUCAGGUAUGCUCCAAUGCUCUUCUAAUUCCACUUUAUUCCUUCUUCGUAUUCUUCUUCUGUCCAAUGCCUUGUUCUUCCACUUCUUCUUUAAUUUCUUGCUCUUACUUAGAAUGGAGAUAUUGAGUUUUGUGAGUGUGCCCAGAAUGUGUUAGAAAGCCAUCCUUCCUCCCUAAUGAUUGGCAAUGAUUGCCUCAUUUAUAGAGCAAUCCAAGGGGGUAGUUUAGGGAAUUGAAUCUGAGUUGUUAGAUCAUGAUUUAUCCAGCUGGAAAUUAAGUGAAUUUCUGGAAAUGAAAUUUGAGCUAUAAUAUGGAAUUAGGUCACGUGGCAUUUAGCUGUGCACAUGAUUUAUUCCCUUUAAUUCAUUUGCAACUGAUUUUCCAUUUAGCUUUGGAUAUUUGAACUGAAUUGCAUCAAAUUGGUUAGUAUAUGUUAUUGGUUCGGUUUACACUCCUACUAGGUCUCGACCUGUUUUGCUUUUGGUUAGCAAAAAAAGAGUAGUUGGAAAUGGUUUGUUCUCGUUGUGUGACAUGUCAUGUAUGAGAAACUUGGUUGCUAAUUAUGCUCGGACUGUUAUGAUUAAUUUGGAAGUUGAAACAGCUAUGCUAUAGUGAUUUUUGUCAAGAUUAGCUUCUUAACUAGUUGAACUUUUGUUUAAUCAAAUGAAUGUGUUGUAAUGCUCAGGACAAAAUGCAACGACACAAAAUUGAAUUGCAAUUUCAGCAUGCUAGUGAAAUAUGAAUGCAUUAUUAGUAAUUGAGAAUUGAUGAUCAUUAGUCAGGACUUGC
rnacentral:lncRNA from 1 species